CAAGUACUCCCUCCGUCCGGAAUUACUUGUCAUCAAAAUGGAUGUGUCUAGAACUAAAAUACAUCUAGAUACAUCCAUUUCAAUGAUAAGUAUUUUCGGAUGGAGGGAGUACAAG
rnacentral:pre_miRNA from 1 species